AUCAUAGUUUAGGGUUCAUGUUUUCUCUAACAAAAACAAAUCUACUCCGUAAUUAAAUCUAGAAAGCAAAAACUAAAACUAAAAGAAAGCAUGAUAAAAUAAAAUUGAACUCUGAAUUGUGUCUUUGUCUUGAGCUUGAUCUCCUCUCCAAUAGAGUUUUUUUUAGGAAAAGCUAAUAACAUUAAUUAACUACCAAGCAUUACAUCGAUACCUAGGGGUAAUCUUUCCCAUACAUGAAAAUCCAAGACACGACGUGCAACUUGAGCUAAGUUGUGAGCACCCAGUGCAAUGAGAUAUCCGACCGAAGAGUCAACAGUGCAUUACAAUCUACAACUAGGAAACCAUACUCAGUAGCGUCUUCUUCCCUAGAGUAUAGAACAUUUAUCACUCUCUGUGCAUCCUUCUCCACAACCUCUAUCCCCAGAAUAUAGGUCACCAAGUACUAUAGUGCUUGACGACAGCCCAACAGUUCAGCCAAGAACGGCUCCCUACACCUAUAAUGAUGACGAAAGAACAAAGUAAUCACCACAGAGGCAUCCUCGAUAAUAGUAUUGUAGAUUGCCUCGUUUGUCGAACAAAAACUUGUACCAUCAACAUUAUAUUUCCAGGUCCCUAGUUCUAGAGGUUACCAAGUUUCUAGUUCAUGCAUAACCUGAUGCGGGGGAAAAGUGCCCCUAUCUCUGAUCUUUGUUGUUUGCUUCCAUUCCUCUAAAAAUUUGCACAUUAGAUAACCCCUAGUAAGAU
rnacentral:lncRNA from 1 species